rnacentral:rRNA from 1 species
GAGGAAUACAUCGGAAUCUACUCUGUCGUGGGGGAGUAACGUAGGGAAACUUACGCUAAUACCGCAUACGACCUACGGGUGAAAGCAGGGGAUCUUCGGACCUUGCGCGAUUGAAUGAGCCGAUGUCGGAUUAGCUAGUUGGCGGGGUAAAGGGCCCACCAAGGCGACGAUCCGUGGCUGGUCUGAGAGGAUGAUCAGCCACACUGGAACUGAGACACGGUCCAGACUCCUACGGGAGGCAGCAGGA